rnacentral:rRNA from 1 species
AUGGAGGCGCCAUGGGCUGGCCGGGACUCGGCGCCAUGGUCCGUUCGGCGCGUCGGCGGCGGCGCGAUGCUCGACGAGUCACGACGACUCGUCGUAACCCUGGAGGCGGAGGUCGCUGGCCUCUCCAUCCCACACCUUCGUGGCUUCCUCGCCGGCGCCUCCUCGGCCGUCCUCAUCGUCGACUUCUUCUGCAGCAUCGUGCUCGACGUCGCCGCGGAGCUCGGCGUCCCAGGGUACUAUUUCUUCACGUCCGCCGCCGAGGCGCUGGCCUCCAACCUGUAUCUCCCAGACCUGCAUGCCCGGAGCGCCGCCAACUUUCGGGAAAUGGGAGAGGAGCUCGUGCACGUGCCGGGGAUCCCCGCGCUUCCGGCAACGCACUUCCCCAAGCCGCUCAUGGACCAUGACGACGCGGCAUACAUAUGGUCCCUCAGAGUGUCCCCCAACCUCUGCCGCUCCAAGGGCAUCAUCGUUAACACCUUCCGCUCGCCCGAGCCACGCGCGGUGGACGCCAUCGCCGCCGGGCUCUGCACGCCUCCCGGCCUCCCGACUCCCCCCGUCUACUGCAUCAGGCCGCUCAUAAAGUCAGAGGAUGUGGGCGUGAAGCGCAGCCACAAGUGCCUGGCAUGGCUGGACACGCAGCCGACGGCCAGCGUGGUGUCCCUCUGCUUCGGCAGCCUCGGCGUGUUCAACGCAGAGCAGAUCAGGCAGGUGGCCAUCGGCCUGGAAGCCAGCGGCAAGAGAUGGAACUCCGUGCUCGAGGCGGUCAUCGCCGGCGUGGCCAUGCUGGCCUGGCCGUUGUACGCGGAGCAACGGAUGAACAGAGUGUUCCUAGAAGAGGAGCUGGGUCUGGCCGUUGCGGUGGAUGGAUAUGACAAGGAGGUGGUGGAAGCCGACGAAGUGACGGCAAAGGUGAGGUGGUUGAUGGACUCCGACGGCGGGAGGGUGCUCCGGGAGCGGACGACGGCGGCUAUGCGACGGGCCAAAGAGGCGUUGGGCGAGGAUGGGGAGUCUAAUUUGACGUUGUGUCGACUGGUGCAGGGCUGGAUGCUUGGAGACAUGGGAGAGGACGCGGGUUCCGCGGAGAAGAGAUAG